rnacentral:sRNA from 1 species
UGUUUGCACUUAGCGGGAAGGGUAAGAACCUUCGACUAAGGUUCGACUCGAGCGCCAGCGAGAGAACGUUGCCACAGGCAACGGCC